rnacentral:rRNA from 1 species
UACGUAGGGCGCAAGCGUUGUCCGGAAUUAUUGGGCGUAAAGAGCUCGUAGGCGGUCUGUUACGUCCGCUGUGAAAACCCGGGGCUUAACCCUGGGCUUGCAGUGGAUACGGGCAAACUAGAGGUAGGUAGGGGAGAAUGGAAUUCCCGGUGUAGCGGUGAAAUGCGCAGAUAUCGGGAGGAACACCGGUGGCGAAGGCGGUUCUCUGGGCCUUACCUGACGCUGAGGAGCGAAAGCGUGGGGAGCGAACAGG